rnacentral:lncRNA from 10 species
GAAACCGCCACUGCUACACAUCUUAUGGAAUGACUCACGAGUUCUCCUUCACUGAUUAAUCCUUUUCCUCAUCCCUUCCUCCCCCUCCCAUCUGCCCUAAGAACAAAGAGCUUGUAAACCAGUAAAUUUGGCAGAGCUCAAGAGCUCUGGGCCGUGAGCAAGCCUCCGAUAUUCUGGUCCCCUGAACCCGCCUUUUAAAUGCUUAUUCUGUCUCUUUCUAACUCCUAUGUCUCCACCAGACUCAGGGUACCCACUGGGUGGUGUGGGGCUGGUUUCCCUAACAUUCCCCACCAAAUAAAGCAGCUCCAACCUUCUAGAUGGUUGCUCAGCUCAGAAGUCUUAGAGAAAUUCUGAUGCCUCUCCUCACAUUUGCUCUGUCGGCAAAUCCUGGUGUCACAAGAGGGCUCAGGAGGGUUUCUGGAUGCCAACGAGACCCCAGCCACAGCCGGUCCCCAGAUUCUUGACAUCAUCACAAGAAAGAAUUCACAGAUCGCUUAGCUCCAUCCAACAUGGAAAGGGAUCAGACACGGGCAUCAUUGCCAGAUGAUAAUCCCUGAUGGUCAUCUUGGAUGCUGGCCACCACAGUUACAUUUGAGGUCAGCGUUGCUUCCACUGCACCUCUGAAAGUACUCAGCUCUGCCCCAAACCUGGAGAGUGCCGCAUUUCUCCAGACUGCAAGAAACAGUGUGGAUGACUCAGUGGAGAUCAUAAUGGCAUCUGAGUGAUCAACGACAGCCUCCAGUUGCCACUUGGUGAGAGAACAAAGGAACCGGGGCAUGCUCAGCUAUGGCUGCAAGCCCUUCAAGUGAAGCUGGGCACUUACCCCCUUCAUUCCAUUCUCCUCAGGAUAACAGAUUAAAAUUCCAGAAGUGUGCACCUGUUGUGUAUUCAGGAGAUUGUCGUUGUGCAUAAAGAGACCACUUGAGGCCCUGUAAGCAAAGACUAAUGGGGCUGAGUCAAAAUCUGGGAAUCUGAUGAACUAACACACUCAAAUGAAACUGAUUUGUGGGCAAGUACGAAUAGAAUAAAUGCCCUGGCGUUGUGACGACAUUGCAGUUAGUGCUUUCUUAUCCUUCAAGGUCUGCUGCCAAAACAAAGCUUUUCCAGAGGGUAUUUUUAUGAGACUGCAAGUUCUCGAAUGCAGGUGAAAGAGGGAGACAUCCUUACGUUGUCUUAGCACAGGUUUUGACCACUAAAAACAAGACUCAUGAUAAUAAUGGAUUUAGCGAGAUAAGAGUUUGUUUCUCUCUCACGUGAGUUUUCCAGCCAGUGUGGCAACUCAUUCCGUGAAGUCAUCAGGCGUGCAGGCUUCUCUCACCUUGGUGCUCUGCCAUCCCCAAGAUGCUGCCCCCAUCUGCAAGCACCAAGACGGCACCCCACUGUGUCCACAUUCUAGGCAUCAGGAUUGGGGAAAAGAGGAAGGGAGAGUAUGCCUCUCUUAAGGGCACAGUACAGAAGUUGCUCACAUCUCAUUGGUCAAAACUUAGUCACCUGGCCACACAAACUCAUAUCUGGGCUUUAUUCUAGGCAGCCCUGUGCCCAGCUAAAAAUUGAGGCCCUGGCUCCUGUUGAAUAGGGUUUCUCAACUUGAGCACUACUGGUAUUUUGGGUCAGAUAAUUAUUUAUUGCAGGGGGCUGUCCAGUUCAUUGCAGCAUAUUCAGGAGCAUCUCUGACUUUCACCUACAAGAUGCCAGCAGCAUCCCUCCAUCAAGUUGUGACAACCAAAUAUCUCCAGACUUUGUCAAAUGUCCCCUUGGAGACAAAAUUGUCUCUGAUGGAGAGCCACUCUUAUUUAAGAAGGGGAGAGUAGAGACUAGGGGACAGUUGGCCAUCCCUGCCAGAUAUAAGUUGAUAUUUUUUAUUUCUUUCCUCCUCAUGUACAGAACAGGGCGGCCAUUAGGACCACCACUUUAGAAGUAUUACUGAACAAUCAAUGCACUCACGGCUGGAUGCUCAUGAAGCCAAUACCAUGGCAAUGGCUUUGGGGAAAAGAAAAGCUUCCUUUGGGGAUUUACAAUAGCAAAAACAUGGAAUCAACCUAAAUGCCCAUCAAUGAUAGACUGGAUAAAGAAAAUGUGGUACAUAUACCACAUGGAAUAUCAUGCAGCUAUAAAAAAUAAUGAGAUCAUGUCCUUUGCAGGGACAUGAAUGGAGCUGGAGUCAAUUAUUCUUAGCAAACUAAUGCAGGAACAGAAAAUCAAAUACCACAUAUUCUCUUAUAAGUGGGAACUAAAUGAUGAGAACACAUGGACACAGAGUGGACAGAAAGAAAGAGAGAGAAAAGCUUUCCUGCAAGUUGACUGGCAAGGAGAGAGGAGGACAUGGUCAAAUCUGUCUUCCUGAGCUGGGCACUGGGUCAGGUUUUAGAAGCAUAGGGUAAUGAGGCAUAAUCUGAUUGGAUCUUGCAAUGAGGUGAUGCUGGGAGGCAUGAUCUGAUUGGAUCCUGCCAUGGGGUGACACCAGGGCUCAAUUUGAUUGGAUCCUGAAUCCUGCCAUGUGGUGUUCACUUCUUAAUUCAGUCCCCAUUCCUUGGUCUGAGAACUUAAGUUCCAUCUGUGGUUGUACAGUUGGUUCAUCUGGGCAAGCUCAGGUUAUGUGACCUUUAACCUGGGGGUUGAUACCAACUGAAAAACAACUCACAACUUUGUUACAUAAAAGUUGAACCAGAUUGGUCUGGUGUGGUUACAGAGGCCAGGUGGACUUGAAUUCAAAUUCUACCUCUGCCACUUAUGACUCUGUUUUUCUCAUACAGAAAAUCUGGUUGGGUUGCUGGGUGCAUUCAAAUGAGAUAAGUAGAAAGUGCCCAGCACAAUGCCUGGCACACAAUAUACACUCAAAAAACACUAGAUAUUAACACUGAGAUGGGUUUUGUUUGGGUGAUGGUGGAGGAGUCUUGGGGAACUUUCCUGGCGGGAAAGGAUGCUUGGGUCAUGGGAAGUUGUGCAAGAUGAGGGAGACUGAUGGUGACCACUGCUUGGCUGGGGACCAAAAGAAUUUUGGAGAGUCCAGUGAUGCUUAGAAGGUGAACAGCAAGGACAUAGGUUCUUUCUUAUAUAAAAGACAGAAUUAGGACUAGAACCAGACCCAUGAAUUACAUUUAGUGUUUUCUUCUCUAUUAUUAUACCAUGACUCUGAGUAACAAUAGCCCAGACAUUGGUUCUGGGCUGAUUAUUCUCCUACCUAUGUAGCCCUGACUUUCUGUAUCCAUUGCAUAAAACAGAAAACCUAAUCAAUGGUGUCUUUAAAAGAUAGAGUUGUCUCUCAUAUAAAAAAAUUCUGCAGGCAAGUGUCCAGGGUUGGUAUGGCAGCAAGGAUCCAGGUUCCCCUGCCUCACCAUGGUUAACAUGUGCCUUUCAACCUCAAGGUCACGGCAAAGUCACAAGUGGUCACUGCAGCUCCAGCUGUCCCCUCUGCAUGCCAAGUAGCAGGAAGGAAGAAAGAGAUGAGCAAAAGUGUGACUCUCAUCUGAGACAGCCCCCUUUUAGGGAGUUUUAGCAGAGUCUCUACCCAAUAACUUCUACUUCCACCUCUUUGGCCAGAAUGAUCUCUGAAUGGGUAAUGUAGUUUUCUAGCCCAACAUAUUGCCUCUCCCAACAUAAUCAGAGUUCCUUUGGAAGGAAUAAGGGGUAAUAAUGCAUAGGCAACUAGAAGUUUCCAUCGUACCUUCCAGGGUGGGAAUCUGUGAGUGACUAGAAGAAGAAUGAUGUGGAGAGAGAAUGAGAGAAAGCAAGAGAGAGAAGACAACAGGGGAAAGGGAAAAUUAUUGUUGAGUCCAAUUCAUUUUUGUUUUUGCUUUUGAGACAGAGUCUCGAUCUGUUGGCCAGGCUGGAGUGCAGUGGUGUGAUCGUGGCUCACUGAAACCUCGACUUUCUGGACUCAAGCAAUCCUCCCACCUCAGCCUCCCAAGUAGCUGGAACUACAGGCAUGCACCACCAUGUCUGGCUAAUUUUUUAAAUUUUUAAAAAAAUUUUUUUGUAGAGAUGGGGUCUGGCCAUGUUGCCCAGGCUGGUUGCAAACUCCUGGGCUCCAACGUUCCACCCACCUCAGCCUCCCAAAGUGCCGGGAGUACAGGCAUCAGCCACCAUGUCCAGCCUUCUUGAGUCCAAUUUUGAAGGGAGAGAUGACUUCUAGCAGGUGUUUGAAAUGGGUCUUGGAAAUUAGGUAGGAUUUGGACAAGAACCCAUGUGAGUUAGGGUUCUUUGAUUGUAGUGUUCAAGCUAAUUUUAGAAAAGAAGGAAUUUUUUGGAAAGAUAUAAGGAAGUUGCUUAAGAAAAACAUUCAAACUGACUUUUUCUCUCCUUUCACAUCGCAGACAUCAACACAGAAGACCUCUGUGACCAAAUGCGUGGGGUUUUCCCCACGACCAGGCACUGGACACGUGCUGGGUGUCCUCUAAUUCAAUUCUGACACUACCUACUUGGAGAUAGCGUCAGAUCCCACAGCUUGAAGGCUCAGUCCCCAAAACUGUCCCCUUCCCCUAGACACCAGUUGCAAGUCCAGGCCUCCAGAACUUCUGACCAAACAGCUGUAUGUUGGGGUUCCCAUGAUGCCUUCUUUGGGUUGGAUUAAUUUUCUGAAGUGGCUCACAGAACUCAGGGAAACACAUUUACUGGUUUAUUAUAAAGAAUAGAGAUGAAGAGAUGUGUAGGGCGAGGUAUAGGGGAAGGAGCAUGGAGCUUCCAUGCCUUCCCUAAGUGAGCCACCUUUCAGGAAACUCCAUGUGUUCUGUUAUCCAGAAGCUCUCCGAACCCAGUCCUCAUGUUUUUAUGGAGGCUUGAUUACAUAGGCAUGAUUGACAACCAUGUAGAAAUGUGAUUAGACAAAAGUGCAUGAUCUAUACCCAGCAAGGCCUGUCUGCUCAGACUUCUUGGCCCCUCUGUGUAGCAUUCCUUCCUCUAGGGUACGGGGCAGGACCCACUCUGGAAUGAAGGUCUUUUGACCACAAUCAGAUUAGAGUCCUACCUUAUCAGGUAAAAGGAGGACAGGAGGCCAGGCGCGGUGGCUCACACCUGUAAUCCCAGUACUUUGGGAGGCCAAGGCAGGUGGAUCAUGAGGUCAGAAGAUUCAGACCAUCCUGGCUAACACGGUGAAACACCAUCUCUACUAAAAAUACAAAAAAUUAGCUGGGCAUGGUGGCACACACCUGUAGUCCCAGCUACUCGGGAGGCUGAGGCAGGAGAAUCACUUGAACCUGGGAGGCAGAGUUCGUAGUGAGCUGAGAUUGCACCACUGCACUCCAGUCUAGGGGACAGAGGAAGACAAAAAAAAAAAGAGGACAGGAGAAGAUCAGAGAAAGAUUCUGCCUCCUAAAACCUAAAGCACCCAACAUUGUAACAAGGACUAUGGGAGUUAUGACCCAGGAGCUGUGGAUGAAAACCAACAUAUAUAAAACUGUAAUAUCACAGAAGACUAAGGAAGACUAAGGAAUUAUUUUUUUUUAAAGGUGAGGGCUGAGAGGAGGAGAGAUCUGUGUAUAGCCUUAGAUGGAACUCAUCAGGAGUCUUGUCAGUUCAAACCAUUUUGUUGUUGGUAGUGGUGUGUCCUCUACUCAAGAUUCCAAGUCCCAAGAGUGAGCAACCAACUGUCCUUACUUGGGCCAUGUGACCAGGAAAAGACACCAUGAAAUCCAUCUCUAGUUGGGUAAAGAGAUUCCCCAGGUCAGGCGUGGUGGCUCACACCAGUAAUCCCAGGCCAAGAUGGGAGGAUCACUUGAGCCCAGGAGUUUGAGCCCAGCCUGGGCAAACGAGCAAGAUGCUGUCUUUACAAAAAAAUUAAAAAAUUAGUCAGGCACAGUGGCACAUGCCUGUAGCCCCAGCUACUUGGGAGGCUAAGGCGGGAGGAUCACUUGAGCCCAGGAGGUCGAAGCUGCAGUGAACCUUGAUCACACCACUGCAUUCCAGCCUGGGAAACAGAGUGAGACACUGUCUACAAAAGAAAAAAAGAGAGAUUUCCCUAGAGGAAGUCAGAACACCGUACCAGAUGAAGGGAGAAUUAGAGGUUGUAGGGCCAGCACUACCCAAAGUCCACUAGGAGUAAUGGGAAGAGAGCUAUUCUAGACGAGGAAAGACAGGAAGAAAGUCACACAAGUUGGAGAGUGAAGGAACAUCCAGUUGACCAAGCAAGAGAGGGAGAUGAAGCUUGAAAGGUGGGUUGAAGCCAGAUUCUAGAGAUGUUUGACUACCAGCAUGAGAAAAUCCCUGUUUUUAUCUGGUGGGCCAUGGGGAGCUAUUGAAGAUUUUUGCCUGUUAGGGUAAAGUGAUCAGGUCUGAUCCAAAUAUAAAGAUUGGUCCAGGCUAGGCAUGGUGUCUCAUCCUUAUAAUCCCAACACUUUGAGAGGCCAAAGCAGGAGGAUUCUGUGAGGUCAGGAAUUCAAGACCAGCCUGGGCAACAGAGCAAGACCCUGUCUCUACAAAAAAAUAUGCCAGGCAUGGUGAUGUGUGCCUGUGAUUCCAGCUACUCAGGAGGCUGAGAUGGGAGGAUCAUCUGAGCCUGAGAGGUCAAGGCUGCAGUAAGCUAUGAUUAUGCCACUGCACUCCAGCCUGGGUGACAGGAACCCUGUAAAAAAAAAAAAAAAAAAAAAAAGAUUGCUCCAAGUUGUGGCAUAAGUGUGGGGAAGGCAAGUAUCACUCUGGGUCUCAGGGACUCAGAUGUCACCAGGCGACUCACUCUUUCUGUCUUCCCAGCCCCUCUCCCUCCUACUGGCUUCUUUCUUCCAGAUCCUUAUCUUCCUCAUGGUAGCUGAGCUCCUCAGUGCAGCUCCUGUCACCUCCUCUCGAGCCACCUGUCUCAGCUUCAUCCCCUGCUAAGCACUGAACCUUGUUCCCUUGGAUACUAAAUUGAAAAAUGCAGGAAAGUCCCCUGAUUGGCUUAGCUUAGGUCAGGUGACACCUCCAGGCCAAUCAAUGGGCGUCAAGGGAAAGGCUCUGAAAGAAGGGAGCAGGUCCCUUUUAAGCCAUGUGGUUAGUGCAAAGCCAAGGAUCAUUUCCUGGAGGGAGCCUGCUUGCUGGUUUGUGGAGAUAAAGCAGUAGAGGUCUAAGUGUCUACUAUUCGCAGGGGCUCCUUGAACACCUACUAUGUGCCAAUCACUGGGCUAAAUGGCUUAUCCCAUUUUGCCCCUUCAACAACAUUUUGAGGUCUUAUUAUUAUCCCCAUUUUGCACAUGGGCAAACUGAGUCUCAAAUAACUUAGAAUCACUUGUCUAGGUCAGGUAGCCAGUUUCAAUGGCAGAGCAGGGAUGCAACCCCAGUCUUUCUGGCACCAGAGCAUGAGCUCUUAACCAUAUUAUUCUGCCAAAGAUCCAACUUGGGGCCUCAUUUUCCCACCCAGGAAGGUAUUUGGCAGGGUCACCAGUAGCCAUUUUGGUGCCUUUUUUUAAAUUAGUAAAACCUCCCCUUCUUCAAGACACUUUACUGCCAUCUGCUGAAAAUUGCCAAAGUAAGUACAGUACACAAAUCUAUAAUGCAGUGAUGUAAACAGUGCCCCUUUAGACUGAGACUCUGGGUCAGUCUAAGGGCCAGUUUUUCACAGUUGGGCAGGUUGUGUACUGUACCAGGGCUAACAUGGUGCAGUGCACAACCUGCUCAACUGUGAGCCUUAGCUUUGAUACAGGAAGUAGAAGCUGCAGCCAGGAGUUUAUUGAAUAGCAAAGACUAACACGAAUUAUCUGGAAUCAUGAAUUCUGUGGCCUCUGGAAUAGGGUGAUGUUUUGGGAUGUCUGGAGCUGAUAGGUCUGGGCUGAAAAGGACCAGGUCGAUGGAGAUGCCAAGCAUUUAUUUGUUUUGUUUCUUCUCACUCCUAUGUCGGGUCUUUGCCUUUUGGUGCUUGGCCACUGGAGUGGGUGGCUCCAUAAGAUGACUCUUGGAUGGUUUCAGGCUCUUCCUGGACACCCAGGACUGGUCCAUGAGCUUGGGCUCAGCUGGGAAAUCCUCAGGGAGAUAGACAUCUGUGGCCUCUGAGAUUGAUAAGGGUAACUGGGGCUCUGGGGCCUGUAGCUGCUCUGGUGGGAGGGGGCAGAGGUCAAGGCAGUAGAAAGAUCUAGGCUCAAAAGUGCUGGGCCUAGCCUUCUUGGGGGGCUUCUUGGCCAGAUUCCUGAGGGGGUCUUUGGUCUUGUUUAAAGACAUCUUGAGUUUUUUGGCCUUGGAAGUCUUGGAGUGCCUGAGAGACUUUUGAGGUUUCUGGGGAAGGCUGGAACACUUUGUCUGGAGUAUUCAUGCCAUAGGUCAUUGGAACUCUCCAGCAGGAUGGAGAGUAACAGGAAACUGUCUUGGAUGUCAUGUCUGGGAUGCCUGGGGGGAGCCUGUGACAAGCUUGAUGGUCUGGGUCCAGGUAAGGGCAGCAUUGAGCAGUGCCCAGAGGCAGUGGGCUUACUGGUGGCUGGAGCAGUACCAGAGGUCCUCUGCGAAGGAGGUCACCGCAGUGACCUCACAGGCUGUCCUGUUCCUACAUAGCAAGGGCAAUUCAUGAGACUGGGGUGGGAAUUCUAGAGAAAAUAUCUUAGAAAAAAGGUCUUCUAUUAUAUAAUCACAUUUUUCAUUUAAUCAUUCAUCUACGCAUUGAUGUAUUCACUUGUUUGUUUAUUUCAUUCAGUCACCCAGCCAUCUACCCACUCAUCCAUUGACUUAUUACUUGCAUGGUAACCCACACCAUUCAUUCAUUCAUUCUACUUCACUCACGCACUCAUACCUUCAUUCAUUAAUUCAGCAAAUACUUGCGCUGUUGGAGUUGGAGAUACCAACACCAAAAAUAACAGCAAACAUCUACAUAGUGUUAAGUGUGUGCCAGCUACUGUUCUAGGUGCUUUAGAUUCGACUUAAGCUUUCCAAAAACCUCCUGAAGGUGUUUGUUAUGGAAUUAAUGUUUCUAGUCCCUUCUCAAAUUCAUAUGUUGAAGCCCUAACCCCUAAGGUGAUGAUAUUUGGAGGUGGAUCCUUUUGGAGGUAAUUAAGUUUAGAUGAGGUCAUGAGAGUAGGUCUCCUAUAAGGGGAUUAAUGUCUUAAUAAGAAGAGAAUUCUCUUCUUAAUAAGAAGAGAAUGAGAGACCAGAGCGUGUGAUCAUUUUCUCUCUCUCUCUCUCUCCCCCCUCCCUCUCUCUUUCUCUCUCUCUCUCCUCUGUGCCAUAUGAG